ACGAACGCUGGCGGCUUGCCUAACACAUGCAAGUCGCACGAGACCUUCGGGUCUAGUGGCGCACGGGUGCGUAACGCGUGGGAACCUGCCCUUAGGUUCGGAAUAACUCCCCGAAAGGGGUGCUAAUACCGGAUAAUGUCUUCGGACCAAAGAUUUAUCGCCUUUGGAUGGGCCCGCGUUGGAUUAGCUAGUUGGUAGGGUAAAAGCCUACCAAGGCGACGAUCCAUAGCUGGUCUGAGAGGAUGAUCAGCCACACUGGGACUGAGACACGGCCCAGACUCCUACGGGAGGCAGCAGUGGGGAAUAUUGGACAAUGGGCGAAAGCCUGAUCCAGCAAUGCCGCGUGAGUGAUGAAGGCCUUAGGGUUGUAAAGCUCUUUUACCCGGGAUGAUAAUGACAGUACCGGGAGAAUAAGCUCCGGCUAACUCCGUG
rnacentral:rRNA from 1 species